GGUUUCAUGAGAUCUAUCACAAGCUUUAUCUGGCAACUUGAUGUCGAAGGCACCAAGGGAUCCACGGAUUUGAACAAGGGAUCCACAGAUUUGCUGGAGAAUGGCCGGAAUCAGGUGACUGUCUGUCCAUGAAUCUCUCUGGAAUCAUGUUUCAGAUGAAGCACCAAGGAUGAGGGGCAGCAGCCGUUCACCUUCAAAAUUGGCCAAGGCCAAGUUAUUAAAGGU